rnacentral:snRNA from 1 species
GGAUGUGAGGGCGAUCUGGCUGCGACAUCUGUCACCCCAUUGAUCGCCAGGGUUGAUUCGGCUGAUCUGGCUGGCUAGGCGGGUGUCCCCUUCCUCCCUCACCGCUCCAUGUGCGUCCCUCCCGAAGCUGCGCGCUCGGUGGAAGAGGACGACCAUCCCAGAUAGAAGGAGUGUACCGUUCUUCGGUCAAGGGUAUACGAUAGCUCAUUUUAUGUUUUGUUCAUAGUUACACAAAAAUAGUAUCUCAAAUUUGACAAAAUGUGCACCAACAGAAACAGAACCCAAAACUAUGUGACAUAAUAUAGAACAAAAAAGUGGUUAUCU